GCCUCAGUGGUUGAGUUGGCUAAGACACCCGUACCCGGAGAUUCGGGAGGUCCCAGGUUCGAACCCUGGCUGAGGUG